AUUCACUUUGUUUUUCAUAUGCAUAUUCAUCAACCUAGUGGUUUUUCAUUAGGUUAGGUAUUAGGGUUUAACAUCUCUGUUCUGUGUGUGCAAAUUCAAACACAUGUUUUAAGGUGGUUGUAGUUUUUACUUGUUUGGUUUAAUUUUACAACAGGAUACUGAGAUUGAGUCUAAUCUCCUAAUCUCGAAAGAACACUUUAACAUUCAGGUUGAUUAAAAGGAUUGCAGUUUAGUUAUUACUAAGAUUGUUCAUGAAACCUGGAAAUAAGACAGUAGUUUGUAACUUCUUAAGCGAAAACAUGUGCUAGUGGAGGAUGGCUGUACUGAUUGGUAUGGACUCUGUAACUGAAAUAAGUUUCAGGAAAUUUUUUUUUCCUAGGAAAAAUAAGUUCUUGGAAAACCUUAGCUAAUCUUAUUUCGUAUUUGAUAUUAGUUAUUGGAAUAAAUUGAUAAAGGCAACUGUUAGCUUGCGGGAAUGGAUACACUAGAAAGUAAAGUGGAUUAAGGAUAAACUUUGGAAUGUGAAGUGGGGAAGUGGCUUCCCCUUGGAGGUAAUCUAAGGGGCAACUGCUUUUGAUCCGGUGGUGGAGAAGGAUUAUGUUGACUCAAAUCAGUUUGCUGGUGAUGCAAAAUGGUCAGGUGCUUAAAUCAUUAAUAAGGAACUUUACUGUGAGAGGGAGUUCACGAGGGGAAGGAAUAUCUGAUUAGGAAGAGAUCAUUGCCAGAACUUUGAAAAGUUAAUGGUGAGGGUGGCUAAUAUAUUGAAAGUUACCUCCACAAGUAAUUG